UACGGAGGAUCCGAGCGUUAUCCGGAUUUAUUGGGUUUAAAGGGUGCGCAGGCGGAAGAUUAAGUCGGUGGUGAAAUUUUGCAGCUCAACUGUAAAAGUGCCAUUGAUACUGGUUUUCUUGAGUGUGGAUGAAGUAGGCGGAAUUUGUGGUGUAGCGGUGAAAUGCAUAGAUAUACCACAGAACACCGAUUGCGAAGGCAGCUUACUAAACUGUCACUGACGCUGAUGCACGAAAGCGUGGGUAUCAAACAGGAUUAGA
rnacentral:rRNA from 1 species